GCAGCAACAGCUUGCAGCUGUGGGAAACUGCGUACAUGGUCCAGCCAGCCUUGGGUGGAAGACAGACCACUCGGAAACAUUCUGCUCUGUAGUGCGAUUCUGUUUUCCGGCGUGAACAUAACCAAGGCAUUUCGUAUGUUUGCCAUGAUGAAGGUGCCAACACUGACUUUGUCGCAGUACUUCAGAACACAGAAACAGCACCUCUUUCCUGCCGUGAAUGAUGUCUUCCUGAGCAGACAAGCUGAGCUACUGGACCGGCUCCGCCCAGUGCCCCUGACCCUUGCGGGAGAUGGCAGAUGUGAUUCGCCAGGCCACACAGCCCUCUAUGGCACUUACACACUGCUUGAGACAGUUGCCAAUAGGA